AAGGAAACUAUAAUCUCCUCCUUCACCUUAUCGAUCUCUUUUUUAUAGCAAUUCAGUCAUACCAAUAACUGCUAUUUCCACCAAUAUAUUCACCCUCAUAAUCUUCAACUGUAAUACUAGGCCCUCACAGCUUUCAGCACACAAUUAUUCUCGUUCCAAUCAUUGGAAUUCUUCACACAGAACUACUAUUCAUAUUAUAGUGUUUUACACAAACACAAACUCAUUCUCUCUGCUAAACUACAAUCAGAUUUCAGCAUUCAAUCUUUCUUCUUUUCAAAUAAUACCAAUCACAUUUCCAUUCCAUAAUUCACUUCACAAUAUUCAGAAACUCUCAAUUCUCUUAUUUUAAAAAAAUAACAAACAAAAAAAAAGAGGUAGCACCAAGCUUACCCCGGCUCACAACUAUCACAACGAUGGCACCUUAAUUAACUUCUAUAAUUCCUAUAUACUUUUCCUUGAUUUUCUAGAUUCUAAUCGUAAUUUUGUAAUUAAUCGCUUUUAAUAAC
rnacentral:lncRNA from 1 species